rnacentral:rRNA from 1 species
GAUGAACGCUGGCGGCGUGCCUAAUACAUGCAAGUCGAGCGAACAGACGAGGAGCUUGCUCCUCUGACGUUAGCGGCGGACGGGUGAGUAACACGUGGAUAACCUACCUAUAAGACUGGGAUGACUUCGGGAAACCGGAGCUAAUACCGGAUAAUAUAUUGAACCGCAUGGUUCAAUAGUGAAAGACGGUUUUGCUGUCACUUAUAGAUGGAUCCGCGCCGCAUUAGCUAGUUGGUAAGGUAACGGCUUACCAAGGCAACGAUGCGUAGCCGACCUGAGAGGGUGAUCGGCCACACUGGAACUGAGACACGGUUCAGACUCCUACGGGAGGCAGCAGUAGGGAAUCUUCCGCAAUGGGCGAAAGCUUGACGGAGCAACGCCGCGUGAGUGAUGAAGGUCUUCGGAUCGUAAAACUCUGUUAUUAGGGAAGAACAAAUGUGUAAGUAACUAUGCACGUCUUGACGGUACCUAAUCAGAAAGCCACGGCUAACUACGUG